AGAGAGAAACUCUACCAAGUAAAAUCAAAGGAAGAAAAUCAAAAGAAAACUAAGAAAAGAAGAUAAAAUAAAACUUUGUCAAUUUUCUUGUUAAUCUUUCAUAAUGGAAUCCAUACAACUUAUACUAACUAUCCACUCUAAGGGAUGAAAGGUGACCUUACAUGUGGCACCAUCAUAGAAAGUAGAAUAUUCUAGAACAUGAUCUAAAUAAUAAACUAGAAAUAAACAUAGAAAUAAUAAUAACUAAUUAUAAUUGGCAUAGUAACUUGAGGCCCAUAAAUGAUGUAGCUAUAGAAGCCCAUUGAGAAUGCAACCCUCUACCAUUACCAUCCCCUUGAAAACAUCCUUGUCCUCAAGGAUGGAAAAGUGAGCUAGCCAUGCAACAAGAAAGAUCCAUGCUAGGAGAGUAAUGUCAAUGAGGCCAAGUCCAGGAAAAGAAGUAACUGUCAUGUUAAAUGAAAGCACCAAGGUAGCAUGAAGGGCCAAUAGAGUGACUUGAUGUGGUGUGUAGUAACAAAAAAUGCCUUGUGUGCUGUCCCAUGAAGCAAGAAGUUCACGCCAUUUAAUUUCAUGGCCAAUGGGGAAGCCUAGCCACGCUAUUAAGCUUUGUUGGAAAGACAAUUCAAGUGGUGGACAUAGGGAAGUCUUGUAAGACCAGCCCAAUAUAAGAAAGACCCAAUUGAAAGAGUGUUGAGCAUGGUGAGCAAGCUUCGUUUGACCCCUUGUGAACAAGUGGGGUAGCCAUGCAAGGAUGAGAAUCCAAGUAAGAAGAGAACAAUAUGUGACAUUGUGAAGCACUGAAGCAAGCAGUGACUGUAAGAGUUUAAUUCUCUGGUGCUCAAGCCACACGGUUUGUGCAGCAAAGCUGGACCAAUCGAAGAGCUUAGGUGCUGCCACAUUUAAUGACAAAGAGUACGCAGACACAGUUUGUGUUUGCAAGUCCUCAAAGAUGAGAAAAUGAGCCCGCCAAGCAACGAGAAGGAUCCAUGUGAGGAGCGUACCGAGACUUGGGCCAAGUCCAUGAGUGAGCCCCAACCUUUGCUCCAGGACGCAGAAAGAAAUAAGGAAGGUUGUUGUGGGAGGAAUGGAAAAUGCUAGUAGGCUCAACAUGGGAAAAUCAUUUGGAAUUGGGCCUAUCCAAAAACAGAUUCCACAUAUUUGGCUAUGAAGCAUUUCAUCAUGGUAGUUGCAAUAAGAGAGCAAUGCUGUUUGCAGCAAAAGAACAUGUGUGCAUGGCCUAAUAAAAGACACCUUGUUCCAAUUUGUUUCCACAUUGCCAAAUGAAUUAUAUGCUACCGAGGUAGGGCCCGUGGGUAAAAGAAUUUCCCAUUCCAUGUACCAAGUGGGAUGCACGAACCCCAUGAGUGAAAGAAAAUGGGAAUUCAACUCUUCAUGCCUAGCAUCCCAUGGUCUUUGACAAUGUGUCCCUAUGGAGCUUGGAACAGGGAAAAGUAAGUGGAUCACAACCAAUGGAGCACAAUCACACUGCGUACAAGUGCUUUGAUAUGUUGCCGUAGAGUGCAUUGAAUCAUGGAGAAAAGGUUUGAGCAAACCCUCCUCAAAAUACAGUAAGCAUCUUGUCAAUUUAUACCGUGUUAUAUGUGCUUUGGAGCUGAAGAUAGCUUCUCCUGCUAGUGAGGAAGAACUGAUCCAAAAUGUAGUCCCAAUUGCUAGAUAGGAGUCUAAAAGGAAUAUAGCAAGUUGUCCCAGAGCAGAGGUGCUUGCCUCAAGUUCACCAUCAACCUUGGUAGCAGUAGAUAUAUCACAAGAGCUUAACCAAGCAGGAUGAAAAUGCCUAGCAGGCCAGUCAAAAAUAUUAGCUGUAGAUGUCUGAGUAACAUAGGUCAAUGUAGCAGGAUGAAGGUAAAUCAACUUCAAAUUAUCAGUAGCACAUAUAGCCAAGUUACCAUUGGCUAAAAUGGAAACAACAACAUGAAUUCCAGGAUCAAACAGUGUGAUAAUCAUUUCAUGUAAUGCGGUAUCAACAUGAUUUUCAAAAUGAGUAGUAUUAGCAAGUAUCUUCAAAAGUUUCUUCUCAUGCAUUUUAUCAAACAUAUGGUGCGGGAUUCGAUGAGUUAUGUCUCUUGGAAUGAGAAGUGAGUCAGAGUUCAAUUCAAGGAUUGUACCAGGUGACCUUGUAGGUAUGUUGCCCUCUUGGCUAGAUAGAACGCAUGACGUUGCCAUAGAGAUAGACAUAGAGCUGAGAAUAAGUUCAGCUAUGGAUGCCCAAUCAAAAUCCGUGUGACCAUAGCUUUUCCACAAUGAAAAUCUCAUAGGUGUGGCUUGUAUAGGAUAAGCAUUGGGCUGACCUCCAAAGGCAGAGUAGUGCAAAACUGAAUCUCUUGUAGCAUGUCUUGAGAUAGCAGCAUAGUUAGGUUAAUCAAAUACCAGAGUUAACAUAGCAACCACUUGAACAAUGCCAGGAUCAAAUAGUUUCAUACCAGGUCCAGAUAAUGAUGAAAGUGCAAUCUCUGAUGUCAAAUUCAUUGGUCUCAUCCUCUGCCAGUCAAGUAAUAGGUUGAUGUAUGUUUCUAAUAGCUUUUCAAAAGUAUUAUCAACACAUAUCCUCGUAUUCCUUGUCACAAGCAUUUUCUCAAACACCUUAGGACAUGGAACCCCAAUUUUUUGUACAUCAACAGUAGUGCUUGAAUUGUGAAAUUGCAUAAGCAACUUGUCAAAAUGCUUUUCAAAUUGAGCCUCAUUAUUUUUCUGCACAAACUUACCCUCAAGCAAAUUUCCAAACACUUGGCGGGGGUUCCUAAGAACUAAGUCAGUUGUUUUCAAAACAAAUGUUUUGUUUACAUCAGGAGUAAUAGCAUCUGACCUUGUUGCAUAUGGGGUUGAAUCAACUGGGGUAGUGAUGAGAGAGGAGUCCUCGGAUGUAGAUGACUCGUGGGAUUCAAUCUCUGUUUCUGCACUACCCAAUUCCACCCUAGAAACCACCUCAGGUAGGAGAUGCACGUCUGAAGAAGCCUCAAACGGGAGCUGAGCUCCAUCCUCCAGUGUUGUUUCACUGAAAACAACCCUAUGAGGAGAAACUUGUUCAGAGCUUCUCUGAAUCUCAACCAAUGAAGAUUUCUCAAACCCAUAUUUGACUGUGGUUGUAGAAAAUCCGUUGGGUCUGUUGUAGACAAAGUACAAUCGGAACGCAACUUUGAAUUCCUCCCAGCUAUGGAUCUGUUGGUGGCUCAAUCGGAACCAUGUCAGGGCCUUGCCACCCAGAUGUAUUGCCAAGAGCUGGAACCGUGUUUCCCAUGGGUAGGGAUUUUGAAGGAAAUAGCAAUCUGCCAUGAACAACCAGUAUUCAGGGUUCUCUCCAUUGAACUCCGAGAGCUGCAGACUUGAAUGUGUUUGUGGGUAAUAAGAUGGGACAUUGUGACAGUAAUAAGGUGAUGUAUUGGGCUGAGAUGGGGGACUGUAGAAGAUGGAUCGGGGAUCACGUUGUGCGGAAAGGAUGGAUGAUAAUACAUCAUAGUUGAGCACCAUGAUGCAAUGGAAGGAAGAGAUCAAUGAUGAAAGCACCAAAUUGGUAGAGAGAAACUCUACCAAGUAAAAUCAAAGGAAGAAAAUCAAAAGAAAACUAAGAAAAGAAGAUAAAAUAAAACUUUGUCAAUUUUCUUGUUAAUCUUUCAUAAUGGAAUCCAUACAACUUAUACUAACUAUCCACUCUAAGGGAUGAAAGGUGACCUUACAUGUGGCACCAUCAUAGAAAGUAGAAUAUUCUAGAACAUGAUCUAAAUAAUAAACUAGAAAUAAACAUAGAAAUAAUAAUAACUAAUUAUAAUUGGCAUAGUAACUUGAGGCCCAUAAAUGAUGUAGCUAUAGAAGCCCAUUGAGAAUGCAACCCUCUACCAGUGAUACAUGAUAAUGAUUUACUGGCGGAUUGCGGAGAAACAAUUUAUUAUCUUCAAGUAAUUCAUAAAAAGGUGAAAUCAAGGAAAUAAUCUGUCUUAAUGAACUGGAUUCAGCUGACAAAGCUGUCAAUUAGAUUAUAUCAUAUUUUGAGAUUCUGGGAACCCAGAGCAAACAUGCUGGCUGGUGUUAGAUUGGUUUAGGAAUAACAUAAUUGACCCAAAGCAAACAUUAGACUUUUUAGAGCAUAAUGUUUUUUUUUUCCCUUUUUCUUGUAAUUCAAGUUUCCAGUUAUUGUUGAGAAUUGGUAUGCUAAAACUUAGGAAUAUCAAUUUUUUCUUGAUGACAUGAGACCUGAUGCAGUAGUUAACUCUAUGGUUUGGGCCAUUAGGCAUUUAUCCUUUAUUUAUCUGAUAUAUUUCUUAACUUGUCUUGUUGCUCUGCAUGUUCUUAUAUUUGGGAUUUAAUUGACUAAUUGUGAGAUAACCUCCUCGAGGUUUCUUCCUUACACAAACUUUUGUCUUGAAAUGCAUUUGAUUCAUCCAGCAAGUUUCUAUCUAUUAAUUAUCUUCAACAAUUUAACUAAUAAGCUCUCUAUCUGUGACCAGAGACUGUAUGGUUUUGCCAUAUGCUUUGCUGCUGGGUUAACCUGUACACUGUUGGUAAGUUUGACAGCAUGAUUUUUCUUUCUAAUUUAGAAUUUAGAUAAAUAAUGAUUAUGUACAAGUUCUUCAGCUCAAUGUGCAUUGUGGAAUAUUAUUUUGAAGCUUGAACCUUUCUUUAAAUAUGGCCACACAUGAGUAAUUAUGUACCUGCGAGCUUUGAACUACUUGAAUUUGUUUGUAAUUUUCGUUCCAAGUUUAUUGAGUGCUAUCAUCAUGCAACUAAGGUAGUUACCAUGUUAGCUUUCCAUUUUAACAUGACUGUCACAAACCCAACUUGCAAAGGCAGUCAUUUUGUAGAAAUUAGAUGAAAAAUAUCAUAAGCUUACAUUCAAAUUUAUAUGCGGCUUCUGAUCAAUACUAAAUGGGUGCUAAGUGGACAAGGCUCUUACAUUACUGGUAGGCUCUGGGGAGGGUCAGAUAUGCACAGCCUUACCUGUGUGGGUGGGUGGAGAGGAUGUUUCUAUGACUAUAACCUGUGACUGCCAAACUUAAGGCUGCAACCUUUGCCGAGUCUGACCCUCCACUUCUGAUCAAUAAUUAAUCCAAUGAAUGUUUCGUAUUUGCAUUGAUAUUAGAUAAAUGUAAUUAUAAUAGGGAUGUUUCCGUGGUUCCCGUUGUCAUGCUACCUCUUAUGCUGUUUACCUUGGGACUAUACACUGAUUUUCUACAAAACAAUUAAAAUAAUUAUUAACUAGGCCCCGGUUACCACAGAAUUCUCCUUUUAGUAUAGGUAAUGCAUAAGAAAUAAACUCCUGCACUUUAGGAAUUUGUGACUCAAAUUUAAAGUUGUAAUGUAAUAGAGGGAAUAAAAAUGGCAUAUCUUCUAUACAAGGAUAAGGAAUAAAUCUCAUUCAUUUCUCAUCACUGUCAUGUAAAUUUGAUGGAAAUAUAACUUAUUUCACUACCUUCCUAAAAACUUGACUUACAAAUGUUACUUUUUCUACCUUUAUGUGGAAUGUUAGCUUUUUAGCUCAAAUUUAUGUUGACAGACAUGAAUAACCACUAAUUAAUGGCAAUUUUUUUACCCCAUCUUACAGUCUAUGCUUGUUUUCCUCAAACCCAUCAAGUUUGCAAUAGCAUUUACUCUUGGCAAUUUGCUUUCACUUGGAAGGUAUGUACUUUUUGUAGCUGUAUAAUUACACUAUUAUUUUGUAUGUAUAUUUGUCAAUAUUUGGAUUCUCUCUUUUUUUUUGAAGGGGGGAGGGGGAGAGGAACUAUAUUCCAUUGGUACUGGCAAGACAAUUGUUUACUAUGAUACCGACCUGAUAUUUUUAUUGUAUUUUGGUAGUCCACUUUUCCUAUUCUCUAUAGAACUUUAGGGUGAAAUGGGGAAGUAGUAAAGAGAUACUUCCACUCAGUGAGAAAGCUUUCUCAUUUUCUCUUUUUUUUUCUGUUCAUUUUUUGUCCUAUCAAUCAAUCUGUCACAUCCCAAACUGAGUGAUUGAGAAUUUCAAUGUGAUACCUAAGCCAUGAGGCUUUUCUUUCCUGAAGGCUGGUUUCCUGGUCAUUGGGGGUGGGCUCUCCUCAUAGGCCUAAGUCAUAACAGUUGGGCCACUUAAAAAGCUACCUACAGGCUGGAUUAAGGUGUAGUGCGUUCUUGGGAACUCUGACUGCAGGGAAUCCAUUUCCAUUGAAUACUGAUAGAUGGCUGAAACCACCAAAAGGAAAAGGGCUACCACCAGGUCAGUGGACUAGGCUAGCUCUACAAGUCCUGGCUUCCUUCCCGUCUUUAACACUCGUAAAGACAGCAUACCUUCAUUGUUCUUCCUCUACCUGCUUCCUUAUGUCUAGGCUGUUGCAGGAAAAUCCCCUAUGCAUAUUCCUUUUUAGCUCACCUCUCUUGCCAACAUGGGUCAUUAAUCCACCUUGCAUUAAAAUGAGGGAUGUUUCAUGGUUUAUCUUCUAAUGGAUGAAAUGCGCCCAAUAUCAGGAGUUCAUUGUCAUAAUCAAAUAUUAUAUAAUGUGGAUUCUUCAUGGUAAAAAUCUAACUUGUUUUGUGAAAAUUUCAACUUGUUCGUUUUCUAGAUGAGUGGUCAGGGUGUAAGUUGCUAGAUUGAUUAGUGGUGAGACCACGGGUAUUGAAGUGAUAAUUUUCCUGUAGGUGCACUCUUAAAGACUGAACUGUUUUUCUAACAAUUAAUUUGCUGUCAAGAAAAAAAGAAGAGAUGAUGUCUCUCUUUCUGCCUUUUGCUGUAUAAAUUGAUUUCUACUUAUCAUUUCAUCCUACUCUUAGAAGUUUGACAUUUUAAAUUAAAAUUGACUAAACCAUUUACAUCUGAAAAAUUGUGGAUGCCUCAUUUUAAUAUAUCAUCCUUUAAACUAGGUUUCACAGCUGUUCUGUUUCCUUGAAAUGCUAAGCGGGAAUCUUAUUUAUGGCAGCACAGCAUUCCUCAUAGGUCCUAAAAAGCAAAUAUCGAUGAUGCUUGAUCCUGUUCGGAUCUAUGCAACAGCCAUAUACAUUGCAAGUAUGAUAAUUGCCUUGUUUUGUGCUCUUUAUGUAAGUCAAAGCGCAUCUUUGUUUGAUUCCUUUUACUUCUGAAAAAAAGAGAGCUUUUCUUUUUUUCAUUAGCUCAAUAUGUGAUUCUUUUGCAUUGAGCAGGUUCAUAACAAGCUACUGACGCUUCUUGCAAUUAUCUUGGAGUUUGGCGCACUAGUUUGGUAUGUCAUAAAUGCCUUCCUUUCUUGCUACUUUCUUUAAUAUUGACUUCAGUGUGCUCUAUGCGCACCAGGGUUAUCAAUCCUGGAUUGUGGCGCGCAGCGGCCAACCCCAAAAAUGCUAUAGCGGUAUAGCGCAUAGCAGGAUGGUUGCUAUGCUGAAUUUUUUAUGCAGUUUAUAUAAUUUAAUUAUAUACAUAUAUAAAUGCUUAAAAAUGAUAAAAAAGUUAAAAUUCAUAGCACUCAUGAUUAACAAUAAAGAGUAAUAGGUGUCUCGAGCAAAACAUACAAGUAGCACAAAAUAAUAGUUCUGAAGUUUUUAUUUUAUUUGAAACAUGUUUAUUCAAAAUAAUUUUCAUGAUUCAUUUUAUUUUAUGUAUAAACAUACAAGAUUAUUUUAUUUGAAUUUUCAUAGUUCUUUCUAUCACUUUCACUACUAUCACUUCCUCCUCAAACUAGAGCCUUUUCAAUAUGUUUCUGACGCAAAACCCCUGAAACACACCCAAAAAAUGCUGUAACAUUAAUUUUCAAGGGCCCUUUUUUGGUUUUUAUCUGUUCCACCUAAUAGCGCCACGAUGGCCGCUUUUUCCUCCACUAUAGCAGCCACAACAGCCGCUACAUUGAGCUGCACCACUACGCUACAACUAGGUGCGGCUAGCUACCGCUACGCACCUCCAUGGCGCUAUAGCGCGCUAUUGACAACUCAAUUGUGCACAUGUGACAAGACUGGAAGUCUGGAACAGAUUGAGGAGGAACAAAACGUAAUCUUUAUUAUUAGACACUCCUAGAACUAGCCUAAUCCUUAUAUAAGAAUAAAAAGACUACUUUUAAUAAUAACUUCCCCGAUGGUUCAAUCACUUCAAUGCUUGUAUGUUUUGAUAUUUUUUUAUAUUAAUGUAUUAUGCAUUACUUUAAAAGAAAAUAAUGAUAAUAAAAAAGCAAAUUAAAUAUAUAAUGAAUGUUCUUGGGUUAGACAUGGCAUAACAGAUUAGAGUUAUCUUUUACCUUAAUCCAGCAUAUGAUAUAAUACGUCUUCGACCAUGCAAUAUUAAUCCAAUUGUUACCCCAUGCCUGUUUCCAUUCUUGUGCAUAUGUUUUAAUUCCUUCACCACUUUUCUGAUUUUGAUUGACAGGUAUAGCUUGAGCUACAUCCCUUUUGCGAGGUCCAUGGUUUCAAAGAUCAUGGUUUCAUGCUUUGACACAGAAUUUUAGGUUAUAUGCUGAACGACUAAAACAUUCUCUGUUGAACUGCAUUGAUCUCUUCAAUAUCCUAUCAAGCCAGCAGAAAGGUUGAGUCUGAAAUACAUGAUUCUCCGUUGUGCGCUUUUUUCUAUUGGAGUCUUGUGUAGGUUCCAUUUGAUUGUUAGAUGUAAAAUCUUGUGCAUUUGUAUUUUGUUAUCUACAGGCUAAUGUAAAGGUUUUUGUUUCUCCCAACAUGCUGUCCUUUUUUUACUUGCUCUUCCUUUUCAUUUCUUUUGUUUUUAAAUCCCCAUGCUGCUUUGGUCAAGGCUGUGUCUCAAAGAGUCAUUAGUUUGCGGGCAUUCGUUUUGGUACCAACCUUUUACAUUCUUAUACCACCCCCAUUUUUGCUUUUUUCUGCUAUGCGGAGUGUAGUUUUGUCUUCCACACUCAUAAGUGUGGUAUGUAAAUGCUUCCCGCAAACAAAAGUGCAGUAGAUUUGGGUGGUGAGAGAAUGUAAAGGGGUGGUACCAAAACUAAUGCCCUUAGUUUGCAACCUUUUAUUAUAACAAGAAGAAUUAAGGCAUCCACAAUGGUUGUAACUUCCAAAGAUUGAGAAGAUUGAAUUGAACAAAUAUUGAAUUGAACAAAUGAGUCACGAUGGUAUCACAAAGGCAAACUAGCCCCCUUUUAAAACUAGAAAUAGGCAGCUCAUGUGUAAUUUAUAAAUCCAGAAACAAUAUCUGAAGCUAUGAAUAUGUUGCAUCAACUAGUAUUGUCUGCUGUAAAACCAAAUGAAGCAUAAGAAAUAGAACCACCAUCCCAACUAUCAUGCACAACUUUGGCCUUCGCGUUUUCCCCAGCUGCCCCCAUUGCCACAUGUAAUGGGAAGAAGUGAUCCGGCCAUGGAUGAGCCAUUUUUGCAUAUGGCGCCUUCUCUUCAUAUUGAUUUACUUCUUCAUAUCUGCAAGAGCCAUGAAGUGUGAAACACUUGCACUAAAAGGCUUAUAAGAAGAAUGGUAUCUUUUAAAUGAAUGUGAAAAACAAAAAAAUGGAUUACCUUCCAUGAAGAAGAGAGCUUUUUAACCAUGACAUGAAGUCCACUGCCCAGGGAGGAGGAGGGCUAUUGCGAGGUCCAAUUGCUCUGAGGUUAUGGGUAGCACUCCCAGAACCAAUGAUCAGAACACCUUCAUCCUUAAGAGGAGCCAAUGCCUUUCCCAUUUCAUAGUGAUAAGUACCACCCAUGCUUGAUGAGACUGAGAGUUGACACACUGGGAUGUCUGCAUCUGGGUACAUCAACAUGAGAGGAACCCAAGCUCCAUGGUCAAGCCCACGUUUCCUAUCUUCAUCCACACGGCUGAACCCUGAUGCUGUGAGUAGUUCCUUCACCCUCUUUGCCAAGUGUGGAGCACCUGGUGCUGGGUACUUGAGCUGCCAAAAAAAGUGCACAAGUUGAAUAGAUUGCUAGAGAAGGCCGCACCUAAAUUAUUGUUAUAUAUUUUCCAUCAGCUGUAAGUCUAAGGACAUCUAAAAUGAAAAAUAAUAAUUCAAAAUAAAAAUGCUUGGUUGUUGGCCAUGUGAAAAAAGUAGUCGGCAGAUGAUCAUUUUGACCAGACCCAUUCAAAUAAAUUCGACAUACGAAUAUGAAUCCACUAAUCAAUUCUCCCUUUUACAUAAACAAGACUGGGUCUUUCAUCUUUGACUUUGUCUAUAUAAACCCCACUGAAAACCAAAAUUAUGCUCAAACUUAUUAACAAUUUAUACCCAUACUUGUAUAGCAUGUUCAUAUCAUUUUGUUUUUUCAGAAUUAACUUUUUCAGCCAAAAACAUCUCAUAAGUUUUUCCCAUAAUUGAUUCUGAAUCAAUUGUGAAAUGAUUUCUAAACAUCUUAUUAAUAAAAUAGGGAGUUCAAAAACUUAAACCAAGUGUUAAACAAUCUCAUCCCAAGUGAAGCAGAAAAUUAUACUCAUUUUUUACUUAAAAGUUUCUAAUGAACAAAAUUACAAAUCUACAUAGGAUUGGGGGGUUUAACUUCCAUAUCAUCUGGUUCCAAUAAUGCUACAAGCUAAAAUUGGAGUUAUGAUAUAUACACACAUCUCCACUCAUUUGAAAAAGGUAAAGCUUUUGUUUUUCCUUCUAAUUAACAAAGCAAACAUUCAAGGAAAAGAUCUCAAACAACAAUAACAAUAGCAGCAGCAGAAAAGUAAAGAAAAAAAAAACUCAAAGAAAUGGAGCAAACCUUGUACAUGUUUUUGGGGAAACCAUAGAAAUCGUAGAUGGUGUCAUUCCGGUCAACGGCGUUGACGGUGGGGACAUGGGUGUCCCAGUGGCCGGAGAUGAUGAGGAUGGAAGAGGGUCGAUGUGGAAACACCUCCUCCUUCCAUGAAUUCAAGAACUUCCAUGCUGGGAUGCUAUCAUCUAUUGCUAGAGUUGGUGAUCCAUGGGAUAUGUAGAAUGUCUCUUUCAACGCCAUAAUACUAUUAUUAUUAAUAUUCUCCUCUGUUUUUUUAGCGAUUUCUGUCUCCUUCUCCUUCCUUGGCUUUGAAUUAGCUGAACUGUGACAAAAUCUAAAGAUGCUAUUCAUGGAUAAUGAUGAAUAUAUAAGGCUAUAGAGAGAUAUCAGCAAAAAUUAGAAGAUGGUAGGUACAAGUACAACUACAAAUACAUCUUCCCGAGCAAAAGAGAGGUUAAUUUGUUCUGCUGACAUUUGACCCGCCUAACUGAUUCAUCUAUAUAUAUAAACUUUCAAUUUUAUUUUAUUUUGUUGUAUAAAAAAUAACCAUAAUCAUUAAAAUUUGUUAGCAUACAUCUUAAUGGUAUAAAAGUUAUAAUUAACUUUUGCUAAUUAUUCUAUUGUCAUUUAAAAUCAUUAAAUGUUAAAUGAAUACAUUAGUUAUUUUUUUUUUAAAAGUCACAAUUGACUUUUGUUAAUUAUUUUAAUGUCAUUAAUAACUAUUAAAUGUAAUAUUAAUACAUUAAUUAUUUUUUAAAAUAUGGAAUUAUUUAAUAUUAAAAUUAAUAAAAAAUCAGAAAAUAUAAAUAUGAAAUCAUUUACCUACUAAUUAUAGUAUGAUGGAGAAAGCUUAUGACGAAAAGUAUAGAAUGAGGGGAUUACACUUGUCAGAGUUGCCACUUUUUUAUUUCGAAAAUAAUAUAUAGUAUACGAUAAGAUAAGAUAGAAUGUUUUAAUUUAAGAUAUUAUUAAUUAAUUAUGAAAAUAUUACUUUAACUUUUAAUUUCGGUGUAUAUUGAUAUAUGAAUAUGUGAUAGAAUUUGUUAUCAAAAACAAAUGGAUAUUUGCAUAGGUAGGUAUCCGAUAAAUAUCCACAAUGAGAAAGUAAGAAAAUAAUAAGAAGUAAUUGAUGUGAUAUAUACAAUAAAAUAUAUGAUAUAAAGAGAGAAAAUUUAGUUCAAUUCCCUGACCAGAAAACACGGUAAGAAAUAAGGUGAUUGUCCCUUCGAGGAGAGAAAACUUUCUUAACAUAUUAGUAUUCAAGCAUUAUAUUCACCCCUAAAACUUUUAUACUGCCUUCUAUGAUUAGUCAUAAUUCUCUUCGUCCCUAUUUAUAAGUCAUUUACUAACAUUUUUUAUUUCUAAAUAUAUAAAUUACUUUAUAAUAUCAAUGAAACAUUUAAUAUUAUUUUUUCAAAGUUAAGCUAAUAUAUAAUAUGAAAGAGAUUGUGUAAAUUAGGAAACAAAACUAAAUGAGUAGCGGCAACUCAUAGUUUCUUCUUGGAUUCAGAGCUUUAAUAUGAGUCAUGUAGAGGUGCAUUCAGUGGGGACGGCAUGGGGGCUGAUGUGUUUGUGGCAGGAGAAUUCAUUAUAGAAGCACUUUGGGAGUCUCAUUUGCUCUUGCUGUUUACAUGGAUAAAAACUUGGUGGAAUGAUUGCUCAUAUGGAGCUGUUCAAUUUGUUAGGGGAUUUACAAAAAUAGAUGUUGAGGGCCUCAGGUUUGGAGAGCGGGGUCGCAGUUGGUGGCUUGGUGCUUGUCUUUGCCGACUGUGAUUGUUUCUGGAGGAACUUAGCAGGUUUUGGAAACUUGUUGUGUGUACUGGUAUAUGAUAUCUAUUACCUCUUGGCUUUAAUAUAUUCAAUUUAAUCCAUAGCUCUUGGGUUAUUAAGAUAGAAUUGUGCGUAUAAGGAGCUUGAUGGCGGUAGGAGGUUUCUCUGUUUGUUUGAGUUUUGGUUGGUGGUGCUAGGUGCUGCAAUGGAUUAUUUAAAUGGUGUGCUUCUAGUUUGGGGUUUUGGUGCAGAUGGUGUUGAUAUGCAGCGUGCUGGCAGAGGUGUUUUUAGUUGUAUUAGUGGAUGGAUUGUUGGGCUAGGAAUUUGAUAGUGUGGGAGGCAUUGAUGCUGGUUUGUUGAUUCUGUGCUUGCGGUUCAUGAAUAACGUGGAGUCUGGUGGUUCUUAUGUGACAUUCAAGGUUGUAUUUUGAUCAUGCUCAUUAUAAUAUUUUGAGGGGUGUUACUUUUGGUUCAAUUCAAUUGUGGGUAGAUUGGAUAGCACAUUAUCAUGUACAUGUGUAGCUUGCCUCAGGCGUGGGAAAUAGCUUGUAAUGGGGGGGGCUGUUAUAUGACAGCUUUUCUUGGCAGUAGUAGCUUACUAGAGGUCUUUUUGGUGUACUUUGUUUGAUUCUUGAGAUUGAGUACUCUUUUUCCUUCUCUAGGUUUUUUCAUUGGGUUUUCUCUAGGAAGGUUUUAAUGAGUCUCAUUUUUGAGGUCUAAAUCAACAAAGUAUGGAUGGCUUGGCUUAUUGGCCUGUCAGGGUCUGCCCACUUCAUGAGAUGGUUGUUCUCAUGGGUACUUUAUCUUCAAUAAUAUAUUUCUCUUUCAAAAAAAAAAUUGAAGAGAGAAAUUCAUAAAUAAUCUAAGAAUUUUUUUUACAAAUUUAUGGAUAGUAAUUAUUUUUUAGGCUUAAUAGCACUUUUGGUCCCCCACGUUUCAAAAAUGUGCAAUAUUAAUCCCCCACGUUUGAAAAUAGCAUAAUGGUACCUCAACGUUUAUCUCUGUUAGCAGUUUUGGUCCCCCACCAGUUUUCCGUCCAAAAACUAACGGUUCAAAGGGCAAAUAUGUAAUUAAACAAAAAUUAACUAAUUAAAAUAUUAACAACAAUUAAAAACCCAGAAAAAUAUCCCCUCCUCAUCUCCUUCAUCAUCUUCAUCACCUUGCCCAGAAAACCCAGAAAAAAAAUUUAUAUCCCUCUCCUAAAAAUCUUCAUCUUCUCCAUUUUAUUCCAGAAAUAUAUCACCUUGCCUGAGAAAAAUCAGAUCAAACACUUGGAUUCAUUCUUCCAUGGCUGGUCUGAACUCUUGAUGCCACCACCACUUCAUCUCUUCCGCACUUAUGCCCGGAUCUGGGACCAGAUCUGAGUUGGGAGAGGCUGAGGGACGAGAUCGAGGGAUUCGACGGUUGUGGGUUGAGAAAACAGGAUUCGGCGGUGGUGGAGGUUUUUAAGAUGGGGGUUUGAAGGGAUUGGGGGAUGGCUGAAGAAGAAAAAUGGUUGGGAACUUGGGAUUGGUUCAGUGAGCAAAUGGUCUCUUCUCUGAUUCGUAGGACCAUCACCCACAACAUCAAAAAGCUCCCAUUUUUAUCUUCUCGUUACUGCAAUAGCAACUUGGGAUUGGUUCAAUUCCUUAGUGAUCUUUAAAUGUUGUUUAUUCAUGUAUCCACUGCUCCCUUGGCUUGAUAAAGUCUAUUCUAUUCAAUUUUGACAUAAAGAAAUAUGAUUUUGAUUUUGAUUUUGUUCGUUGGAUAAGUGAACUCAGAGAUGAAAUGAAAAAGUUUUGAGUUGAAAAAAAUUCAUGCUUUUAUUCAUGAUUUAUGUGUUGGGAAAAAUCAAUUUAUUCAUGAUUUAUGGUUUGGGUGGUGCCUGGGGAGGUUGGAGGUGAAGAAGAAGAUAAAGAUGAUGAAGGGGAAGAUUUUAAUUAAUUUCAUAAUAUUUUCCAAUUUUUGUUUAAUUUUUAAUUAGAUUUUUGACGGAAAACGUUAAAAUGUUAACGGUGGGACCAAAACUGCUAACGGAGAUAAACGUUGAGGUACCAUUAUGCUAUUUUCAAAUGUGGGGAAUUAAUAUUGCACAUUUUUGAAACGUGGGGGACCAAAAGUGCUAUUAAGCCUAUUUUUUAAUCAUACAAAGUUAGGUAAGAAUAAUUUACAAAUAGAGAUGGAGGAAGUAUUGAUUAUGUUAAUGGGUUAAAUUUUCACUCUCUUAACUUUAUUUUAUUGUUUCGUCUGUGUAUAUGAGUUCAACUAACUUAUUUAUUGUAUUUGACGGUCGUCCCAAUGGCACUAAGGUUGGCAAUAGGGUGGGGCGGUGGGGGCGUGGCUUCCCUCAUCUGUCUCCAUCCUCCAUCCGACAUGGUGAAUUUUUCCUCAUCUCCAUUCCCUUAAAAUUUCCAACACGUCAUUAAAAAUAAAAAAUAUAUAUAUAGAAAGAUACAUGAAUUUAUACAAUAAAUUUAAAAACAGUAAAUGACAAUACAGCCACAUCAUUCAAUACAAAUGUAUAAUAAAGUUUAAAUAUUGAAAUUCAUCGAAAUGUGGUCUAACCACAAGGUGUGGCGUGUAAGUUAGCUUAACUCGUCCCUUAUCUAUGAGGUCGAGGGUUCAAUCAUCUCCCAUGAGAAUAGAGCGCACUUCGUGGUCAGUCGUUUACCACUUAGUACAAGCACCCUCAGUGAGGGGAUUAGUCAAUAUAGUCGACGGUGGAUACCCUCUACUCACAAAAACAAUGUAGAGACUAUAAAAUAAGAAAUUUGAAACAUAAAGACCGACAUUUUAUUCGUCCAAAAUAUAAAGUAUAACACUCAAUAUACCCUUUAACAUUCUACUAUGAAAAAAUAAGUCUUUCUUAUAAACAAUCUAAUUUUUAUUUCAAGCUAAAAGUUUUUUUAAUUGAAAUUGGUUUUUUAGUAUUUUUAUAAUGGGUGUGUUUAGGACCCUAAUUUUAUAAUUUGUAUCAUGUUUAUUAACUAUUUAAUUUUUUUUAUUAUAAGUCCUAGUCCUAAUUUCCAAAUUAGGGAUUUAUGGGUGAAGUAAUGUCAAAGCUUAGCCACCACACUUUAUAUAUGAGAAUUGUUAUUCAUACCCCCCGAUAGUUAUUUGAACCCUGUUAAAUUCGUAAAAUCCGAAAAAUCAAUUUCUUAAAUUUUUUCUCUCGCACUUUCAAAGUGCGUCCGUCUCGGACUUUCAAAGUGCGUCCAUCACGCACUUUGUAAGUGCGUUUUGGUCGCACUUUCACAGUGUGAGCGGAACGCACAAAUUUCUUUCUUUUUUUCCUGUUUAAUUUCUAGAAGGAAUUUGAGACUAAAACUUCUUGGUUAAGGUAAUAGGACCAUUCUGAACUCAAAUAUGCAGUCAGAAUCUCCAAAAUCCUACACCUUCUAGUAGUUGCUUCACAAUCAGGAGGGGUGCGAUUUGGAAAAGUGGACAGUUUUUGGUGUCGGAUGCUCAGGCGACCAACUGCAAAGUUGAAGAGAAAAAUCAAACGAUCAUACCUUAGCACAUUCUCCUAAGAUUUGUGUAAUUUAGCCAAAUUCCUUCAUCUGGUAUUUUAUUUUGAAUUUCAAAUUUUUUUCAUUCCACCAUAAAUCUCCAGAUAUUCUAUCUUUGAUUUACUGUGGAGUCUCAUAUUUUUUUAAAAUCAUCUGAUAUCAGUUCUGUACAAAUUUACAGCAAUUCACUCUUUAAAAGUGCGUUCACUUCGCACGUUUGAAGUGCGUGCACUUUUAUUUAAAAGUGUGUGCGUAACGCACUUCUAAAGUGCGCUUAUUUGCAGAAAAAAAAUUAAAAACGACAGAAACAACUCCCUACAGUUGGAAGUUUUCAAAAACGACAGAAGUUUGAGGUUGUGGUGGUGGUGGUAGCAGCGGUGGUGGUUGUGGUGGUGGUGGUGACGGCGGCGGUGGUGGUGGUGGGUGGAGGUGGUGGGUGGAAGAAAGAGGAAAGAGGUAAGGAGAGAGGAAAGAGGAGAGGGAAUGUGAGGAUGAGGGGUGAGGAUUUUUUUAUAUAUUUUUUUUCAUUAAGGGUAUUAUAGUAUUUUUACACUUUUUCAGGGGUCCAAAUAGCUAUCGGGGUCUCUGAAUAACAAUUCCCUUUAUAUAUUCCCAUGGUUAAAGCCAGUGGCGGAGCUUGACCGAAAAAUGUGGGGGAGCCAUGCUUAUAAACCAUAAGUACUAAUUAAAACCAGCAAGACAUACACUGAACUCAUUACACCACAAAGUUUUUCUUGUUUCUUAAUAGUUACAGUUAAAAAAACCCAAAAGAACUCUAAAUGUUCAAACUACCCUUUGGAUUACAGCAUCAAUUAAGAAAUGAAAAAAAAAACUCCUUUUGAUAUCAUCCUUUGUAGAGAGAUUAGAACAAAUAUAACAAUACAUCAACAUCAAAAUAGAAAGCUCAUUUUAAAUUAAAGAACACCCACAACCAGAUGUAUCGUUAACAAAUUUAACCACCUAAUAAACAAAUGGUGUGCACUAGACACCUGCCUCACCAUUUCCAUGUAC
rnacentral:lncRNA from 1 species